CUUUGGAAUCAAAUCCGCAGCUUCUUCUUCGUGACUGAUGGCGAAAUUCUCCGAUCCAAAUCCGGCCACCGCAAACACCAGCUUCGACCGAUAACUACCUUGUUGUUGAUGUUGCAGUGAAGACUAAUCGCGAAGGCGAUUGAUGAUGUUGAAGUUUGGAGCGCAUAGAUAGUGAAGAUGGUGAUUGUUCAGAGAUGAGUGUCCGCUCGGAGCUAUGGGCGAAGUAACACGAGAGCUCGGUGAAGUUCUUCAGUUGAAGCUGAUGCGAAGAUGAUGAUGUUGCUUGAAGAACGUUGUUGAAGAUGAGUGAAGGUGAUUGAAGCUGAUAGAGAAUGGGAGAAAAGAGGCAGAGCGAAGGCAGAAUGGUGGAAGAGGUGGAGACUCAGAGGAGGUUUGAAGUGAUGAAGAUCAGAAGGGAUUGAGGAAGUGGAGAAGAUUGUGUGAAGAGUGAAGAAUUGAAGAUGAUGGUGUUCUGCUGAGAAAGUGAAGAAGAUGAAAGUGAGUUGUGGAGAAUGCAAAAAGAGUGGUGAAGGGAGAAUGAAAGUGAAGAGAGCAAAAAUGGUGGAGGAGAUCAAUGAAGAAGGGAUUGAGGAUUAUAUAUAGAAGCUAAAGUGGCUUGACGGACUCGUUGAAGCGUUAACAUUGACCGAAGAUGCAUCCUCAAUUGAAUUUGUUCCAUUUGAAAUGAUGUUACCAGAGAGGUUUGAGUAAGAGUUGCUGUCUGGAAAACCCCUGAAUUUGUAUGAGACUCUGUUUGGGUUCUAUACAGGGCUAGAGGAUUGGAAAAUAUUGGAUGGAUGCUGAGUUUUUUUUAUUGAAUGCAGUAUGGACAUUUGGUAUGAAUCGUGUGUAAAUUGAUUUGUGAUAUUGGUUUAUUGCAGGGACCGGUUUCUUAUAAUUGCAAGGCUGCUGCUUCAGUAGGUUAUGGCAGGGUUGAUUUUGGUUUGUAGUCAUGUUGAACAAGAGUAAAUGGCUGCCCUUUUUAACUAGUUAGGUCAUGAUGAAGAUGAAGUGGAUUAGCUUGGAGGAUUGAAGAAAUGAAGAGAAAUAGGUUUAGGAUGUAGUGAAUAGAAAGUCAAAAGACCAAUGGUUACAAAUUUGUAAUAAUAAUUUCCUGUACUUUCCCUUUUUCAUGUAAUUUCACUUUAUAAUUGAAUACUCCUUGAAUAUGUUGACUUGUGAUUCAUAGAUGGACCUUCAAAUAAAUGCAUAAUUAGGUACUUGAGAAUAGGCAUUUGGUCCUCGGAUUCUGUGUAAUGUUGCUUGUAUAAUCUUCAUGAAUAUUUUGAGCUUGAAAUAUAA